CUCGGUGAUUAAAGCGCCGUCGAACUACCCUUUUCCAUUCCGAACAAGGAAGUAAAAGGCGGCAGCGGGGACGAUAGUUCCGCCGCAAGGUUGAGCGAAAAUACUUCAUCGCCGGGG
rnacentral:rRNA from 1 species